AAGGAUCAUUAAUGAGUUAGGGUCUUCUAGGCCCGACCUCCCAACCCUAUGUUUACCAAACCAUCGUUGCUUCGGCGAGCCCGUCCGCUAUGGACCGCCGGGGAGCUGUCACAGGCUCUCUGGUCCGUGCUCGUCGGUGGCCAAUUUACAAAUUCUUAAUUAAACGUGUCUUGAUCUGAGUACCAUAUUUUAAUCAAAAUUAAAACUUUCAACAACGGAUCUCUUGGUUCUG
rnacentral:misc_RNA from 1 species